rfam:Picea glauca, whole genome shotgun sequence.
UCUUAUGUACAUGCUUAUAGACUUAAUGCACAGGAUCCCAUUAGAAAUCUGUAGUUAAGCGUACUUGGGCUAGAGUAGUACUGGGAUGGGUAACUGCUUGGGAAGUCCUAGUGUUUUACAUGCC